rnacentral:lncRNA from 1 species
GUAGCAGGGGAGGCAGACAUCCUUGAUGAGAACCUGCACGGGGAGCUUCCUGAGCAAAGGCGUUGCGGAGCUUUGCAGCAGUAUGCCAGGGCUGUGGAGAAAGGAGAAAGGAGAAAGAAGACAGGGCAGGAUGUCCCACCCGCUGGGGAGGUGGCAAGCCCUGAGGAGUGCCCAAUGAGACGCCCCAACUACAAGUAUCUUCUUGAGAUGACACAAAACCAGAAUACAGGCUUCUUCCAAGAUCCAUGUUUGCCCCUCUUUCAUUGUGAGAGAAGAGCAGCUGAAAAGAAUAGAUGUUUUCGGCCACGUGGGUGGCUCACACCUGUAAUCCCAGCACAUUGGGAGACCGAGGCCAGCAGAUUGCUUGAGCUCAGCCAGUUCAAGACCAGCCUGGGCAACAUGGUGAGAUCCCAUCUCAAAAAAGAAAAAUAUUUAUAUUAAAAGAAAGCAGAAAUUUUUUUUAAAAGAAUAAAUGUUUAGAAUAGUUCUAUAAAGCAGAAGAAAAUCAAGACAAUGUUGGCCAGGUGCAGUGGCUCAUACCUGUAAUCUCAGCAUUUUGGGAGGUCAAGGCAGGAGGAUUGCUUGAGGCCAGGAGUUUGAGACUACCCUGGGCACCAUAGCAAGACCCUGUCUCUACAAAAAUAAAAAUACAGUGUUUUGGUUUAGGAAAAUAAAGAAAAGGAGAGGAAAAA